rnacentral:rRNA from 1 species
AAAAACAUGGCUCUUUGAUUAUAUAAAUAUAAAGAGUCGGACCUGCCCGGUGAAAAUUUUUAACGGCCGCGGUACUCUGACCGUGCAAAGGUAGCAUAAUCAUUUGCCUUAUAAUUGAAGGCUAGUAUGAACGGUUUGACGAGAACAACACUGUCUCCUUUUUAUUUUCAAGAAUUUAACUUUUAGGUGAAGAGGCCUAAAUUUUAUUGAAGGACAAGAAGACCCUGUCGAGCUUAAAAGACACUGUAGAAUCUUAUAUGUCUUCAAAUAAAUUUUCUAUUAAGCUUUUUAGUUGGGGCGACUAAGGAACAAAAAAAGCUUCUUAAAAAUAAUAGACAGUCAUGUUUAGAUCCAGUAAAAUUGAUCAAAGAAAUUAGUUACCGCAGGGAUAACAGCAUAAUCUCUCUUGAGAGACCUAAUCGAAAGAGGGGGUUGUGACCUCGAUGUUGGACUAGAAUAUCCUAAAGAUGUAGAAGUCUUUGAAGGUCGGUCUGUUCGACCGUUAAAAUUCUACGUGAUCUGA